UCCCCGGAGGCUCAGUGGUAGAGAACCCGCCUGCAAUACAGGAGACGCAGGUUCGAUCCCUGUGUCGGGAA
rnacentral:tRNA from 1 species